AUUGAACGCUGGCGGCAGGCCUAACACAUGCCAGUCGAGCGGAUGAAGGGAGCUUGCUCCUGGAUUCAGCGGCGGACGGGUGAGUAAUGCCUAGGAAUCUGCCUGGUAGUGGGGGAUAACGUCCGGAAACGGGCGCUAAUACCGCAUGCGUCCUGAGGGAGCAAGUGGGGGAUCUUCGGACCUCACGCUAUCAGAUGAGCCUAGGUCGGAUUAGCUAGCUGGUGGGGUAAAGGCCUACCAAGGCGAGGAUCCGUAACUGGUCUGAGAGGAUGAUAAGUCACACGGGAACUUGACCAGGGUCCAGGGUCCUACGGGAGGGAGCAGUGUGGAAUGUGGGGCAAUAGUCGGAAGCCUUGUACAGCGGUGCCGCGUGUGUUGAGGAGGUGUUCGGAUUGUAAAGCACUUUAAGGUGUGGGGAAGGGCAGUAAGUUAAUACCUUGCUUUAGUGACGUUACCGACAGAAUAAGCACCGGCUAACUUCGUG
rnacentral:rRNA from 1 species